rnacentral:rRNA from 1 species
UAAAAAAAGGUUUGGAUUUUAAGUUUUCUCGAAUUUAUAAGAGCUAAGAAUUUAUAUAUUUUAAUGUUGAAAAAUUAUUUAAAAUAUUUUCUUUGAUAUUAGACGUUAGUCGGUUUUAAAUAUAUCUAGUUUUUUAAGAAAUUGAUUUAAUUAAGCUGAUUUUUGGUGAUUUUGAAUUUCAAAUUAAUCUAGGAAUUAAGUAAUAUUUGAGGGGAUAAGCUUUUGAAUAAAUUUCUAUAAAUUUAAGUUUAUUAAAAAUUGAGUAGGAAUAGAAGUUUUCAUUUUUUAUAGUGUUUUAUAUCAAUAUUUUUGUAUAGGUAAUUUAUUUAUUUUUAGAUUUUUUAUUAGAAUGUUAAAUUUAAUAUGGGUUUUUAAGUAAUAAUGAUUAAAUAAGUAUAAUUUACUGUUUUAAUAUUUAAUUUAUGUGAGUUUUAGUUAAGUAAUUCGGCAAAUUAAUUUUCUGCCUGUUUAUUAAAAACAUGGCCUUUUGGAAAUUAUUUAAGGUCCGGCCUGCCCAAUGAUUGUAAUUAAAUGGCCGCGGUACUUUGACCGUGCAAAGGUAGCAUAAUCAUUAGUUUUUUAAUUGAAAGCUUGAAUGAACGGUUAAACAAGAAAAUUACUGUCUCAAUUAAAUGGUUUUAGAAUUUUAUCUUUUAGUUAGAAAGCUUAAAUGUUUUUAAGGGACGAGAAGACCCUAUAGAAUUUUAUAAGUUUCUUUAGUUUGUAUUUUUGGCUUAAUUGUUGUGAAUUGGGGAAAUUUAUUUCGUUGGGGUGAUGGAAAAAUUUGAGAAACUUUUUUUUAAGUUAAUCACUAAUAUGUGUUUUUAUGAUCCGUUAUUUUACGAUUAGAAGAAAAAAUUACCUUAGGGAUAACAGCGUAAUUAAUUUGGAGAGUUCUUAUUGAUAAAUUAGUUUGCGACCUCGAUGUUGGAUUAAAAUUAACUUUUGGUGUAGGGGCUUUAAAGUUAAGUCUGUUCGACUUUUAAAAUUUU